UACACAUGCAGUCGAGCGGUAACAGGGGUAGCUUGCUACCGCUGACGAGCGGCGGACGGNUNAGUAAUGCAUGGGAAUCUGCCCGAUAGUGGGGGAUAACUCGGGGAAACCCGAGCUAAUACCGCAUACGUCCUACGGGAGAAAGCAGGGGAUCUUCGGACCUUGCGCUAUCGGAUGAGCCCAUGUCGGAUUAGCUUGUUGGUGAGGUAACGGCUCACCAAGGCUGCGAUCCGUAGCUGGUCUGAGAGGAUGAUCAGCCACACCGGGACUGAGACACGGCCCGGACUCCUACGGGAGGCAGCAGUGGGGAAUAUUGGACAAUGGGGGAAACCCUGAUCCAGCCAUGCCGCGUGUGUGAAGAAGGCCUUAGGGUUGUAAAGCACUUUCAGUGGGGAAGAAGGCAUGAUGAUUAAUACUCGUCAUGAAGGACAUCACCCACAGAAGAAGCACCGGCUAACUCCGUGCCAGCAGCCGCGGUAAUACGGAGGGUGCAAGCGUUAAUCGGAAUUACUGGGCGUAAAGGGCGCGUAG
rnacentral:rRNA from 1 species